rnacentral:tRNA from 2 species
GCACCAGUAGAGUAGUAGUUAACUCAUUUCCCUCCCAUUAUCUCCUUAGACAAGGAAGGAAAGGACCCGGGUGCAAAUCCCGGCUGGUGCA